rnacentral:SRP_RNA from 2 species
GCUGGGCAUGGUGGCUCAUGCCUGUAAUCCUAGCACUUUGUGAGGCUGAGGCGGGUGGAUCACUUGAGGCCAGGAGUUCAAGACUAGCCUGGCCAACAUGGUGAAACCCCGUCUCUA